UAUAUAUAUAUAUAUAUAUAUUAUCUCUCCUCGGCCAUGACCAGAAGGAUGAGUUUCUCCAAUCUCAUUUCAUACCAUGUGCUGCCUUGCCUAUUAUUGUUGGUGCUGGGAAGUUCCGGGGCAGUCUCAGAAAGCGAACAACUCCAGACCUAUAUCAUUCACAUGGACCAUUCCCACAAGCCUGCUUCCUUCUUAACCUAUGAAUCCUGGCACCGUCACACCCUAAAGUCAUUGUCUCAUCCUGUUGAUGAGAAAGAAAUGCUUUUGUACUCAUACAACCAUGUUGUCCAUGGCUUCAGUGCAAGGCUCACACAAUCUCAGCUAUCUGAAGUAGAGAAAUCUCCAGCUCAUCUCGCCACAUAUCAGGAGUCCUUUGGCAAGCUAUUCACAACAUACAGCCCCAAGUUUCUUGGACUAAAACACAAGGAUGGCCUAUGGCCAAGUGCAUCAUAUGGAGAAAGUGUGAUAAUAGGAGUCCUAGAUACAGGAAUUUGGCCAGAGAGUGAGAGUUUCAAUGACAACGGAAUACCGCCAGUGCCACAGAGAUGGAAAGGCCAGUGUGAGAAUGGCACAGCAUUUAGCACUUCUAGCUGCAACAGGAAGCUUAUUGGGGCACGAUCUUUCAGCAAGGGACUUAUAGCGGCUGGUAGAAAUAUUUCCACUGAGAUUGACUAUGACUCACCAAGAGACUUCUAUGGCCAUGGAACCCACACAUCAUCCACAGCUGCAGGAAACCAUGUGCCUGGUGUAAGUCACUUUGGAUAUGCAAGAGGCACAGCAGCAGGUGUAGCACCACGAGCACAUAUUGCCAUGUACAAGAUCCUCUUUGCAACAGAUACCCAAGAGACUGCAGCAAGUGAUGUUCUUGCAGGUAUGGACCAAGCAAUAGCUGAUGGGGUCGACAUCAUGUCGCUGUCUCUCGGUUUUGUACAGAAACCUUACUUCGAUGACGUCAUUGCUAUAGCUUCUCUUUCAGCAAUAGAAAAAGGAAUUUUGGUUGUAUGUGCAGCUGGUAAUGAUGGAGGCCAUAAUACAACAUACAAUGGAGCUCCUUGGAUCACAACAGUAGGAGCUGGUACACUUGACCGGAGUUUCACAGGUACCAUGACCCUGGAAAAUGGAUUGACAGUUAAAGGAACAUCAUACUUCCCAGAAAGCAUUUACAUUACUGAUGCUCCUCUAUACUAUGGCAACGAUAAUGGAAGCAAAGCAAUCUGCUAUUAUGGUGCAUUGAAUAAAAGUAAGGUUCAUGAAAAGAUAGUCCUCUGUGAUAAUACCACUAAAAUAGAUGUUGAGGGACAAAAGGAGGAGCUUCAAAGGGUAGGUGCAUAUGCUGGAAUAUUCAUGACAAAUAUGCCUCUUUUGGAUCCAAGCGACUAUACUAUUCCUUGCUUGGUUCUACCAACUGCUGCAGGGGCUUUGGUUAAAGAGUAUGCAACUGGGGUGACAGUGCCAAAGGUUAAAAAUAUGAAGUUCAUGUCCACUAAUUUGGGUACCAAUCCAGCACCCCAAGUGGCCUAUUUCUCUUCCAGAGGGCCAGACCCAAUUAGUCCAGGUGUUCUAAAACCAGAUAUUUUAGCUCCAGGAGUGGAUGUGCUGGCAGCGAUUAUACCAAACAAACCAUACAUGGAAAUUGGCAGGUACAGUCUUGUGACAGAUUAUUCCCUGCUUUCAGGCACAUCAAUGGCAGCACCCCAUGUUGCUGGAGUGGCAGCUUUACUAAAAAAUGUCCAUCCUGAAUGGAGCCCAGCAGCCAUCCGAUCAGCUAUUAUGACCACAGCAUAUAUCACAGACAGCAAUAGUGAAAUUUUGAACGACCAAUGGACAGGUCUUCCAGCCACACCUCUAGAUUUUGGAUCUGGGCAUAUCAAUCCAAACAAAGCCUUGGAUCCUGGAUUAAUCUACGACAUGGGCAUCCAAGAUUACAUUGACUUCCUAUGCAGCCUUGGCUACACUAAAAAGCAGAUGAGAACUGUCAUCAGACGAAGUCAAUGGAAUUGCAGGAAAGAGUCAAGUGACCUAAACUACCCAUCUUUUAUUGCCAUAUUUACCAAUGAAAGUAGCCCUUCAACUGUGAAGAAAUUUAGCAGGGUUGUGACAAAUGUGGGAGAUGACACAACUGUUUACAAGGCAACUCUAGAGAUUCCUCCUGGAAUGAGAAUCACAGUAGAGCCUAGUGCCUUGUCCUUCACUAAGAAAUAUCAGAAGCAAAGUUUUUCUGUGAGUCUAGAGGUGGAUAAAGAAGCUCCAGCUGUGGCAUAUGGUUAUCUCAAAUGGAUUGAUCAGCACGACCAUGUGGCGUCUAGCCCAUUAGUGGCUGUCAAAUUCUAACCGCCCCCCUUAAUUAAGUCAUUGGCAAGACUCCAUUCUAUCUGCAAUGUUUUCUGCUAAGGAUAUGACAUUCAUGUGGUAAAAAAAAAAAAAAAAUCUCAAUUUGACUCUAUUCACAGAGGUAACAUUGUUAUACAGCAUCCAAAUAUCAAUUCAGUAUGAUAGUUAUCUCAAACACUUCCAUCAAUUUCACAAAGAAAAAAAUUGAUAGUGCAGAGCAAUCCUCUAAGUCAGAGUUAUCUCAAACACUUCAUCAAUUUCACAAAGAAGACAACUAAUGAUGCAGAGUAAUCCUCCAAGUCAUUUCACACACACACACACACACAC
rnacentral:misc_RNA from 1 species